rnacentral:lncRNA from 1 species
CUUACAAUCACUAUUGGUUUCUUGUUGCUAAUAGUAAUAACACCCAUAUCUGAGUAUCAGUUAUGGCCCAUGCACAGCUUUAGUCACUUUUAUACCUAUUGUGCCUUUGAUGUUCACCACAAUUCCUAGUUUAUGAUAGUCUGAUCUGGGAUUUGAACAGAAGCCUGUGAUUUUUUUCUGGACAUCAUAAUACUUUAAAUGCUGGCACCCAUGUCGAAAGAAAGAAAAAUUGGGGUUGGGGUAAGAACUAGUUUGACUAUAGGAUUUAGUUUUGGGGUCUCAUUUCUAAAAUGACUGAACCUUUGAAAUCUAUAAAAAAUAAUUACAGAGCUUCACUUAUAUGCAGAAGACUGUACUGAGCCUAGAUACAGAUAUCGAUAUAGGGUUCCUCUUCAAGAAGUUAACAGUGCAAAUAAAAUAUGCAGACAUUGCAUCCCAAGCUUUAUAUAGAAGAAAACAAGGCAAAACCAUAAGGCAAAAAGAAGGCACCAGAGAGCUUUGGUUUUCCAGCUGUUCAAUCUCCACUCUCCUGUGAAACUGAAAUUAUAGAUCAAAGCUAAAUGGUCAGUGUCUUUUUAAUUUUAAAAGCAUGCUGUAAGAGCAACUGACCUCUAGCCUGUACAAUUUGGAUGUGAUCAUGUCAUUUAGAAGAUGCCACUGCACCAACUGCCCAUACUUGCAUUUUGGAAUGAGAGAUGUCUCUAAACUCACCGCAAUGCUAUCUACAUGCAAAUGAAAAUGUUGAAGAACUACUCUUGCAUGCAAGUUAAUUCAGCUUGAUUCUCUUAGAACUCUUCUCUUUUCUUAAAUUGGAAUUGUUGUUUCAGAGCAAAACGUUCUUUUAUGGCAAAUAACAAAUUGAAAAGGAGAAAGAAGAGAAGAUGUCUCUAAAUACACUAAAAUUGUAUCAGAUGUUUCCAGAUUCAUGUCUUUCCUAAGGGUUUCUAAAAAAUUUCUAAGUCUUUAGUAACUGUUGACCACUUCAGUUCAGCCCUCAAUUGCAUUCUAUUGAAAAAUAAAGUAGAGAAACAGCAAAAAAGCAUAACUAAUGAGAUUUCUAUGGUCACAAAACGUUAACUCAUUUGAUUUUCCUGAAAUUCUGGCUACAAAGCAAUUCCACAC